UGGGCCUGCUGCUGUACCUCAGGUUGAUCC
rnacentral:piRNA from 1 species